CCCUGUAUCGAAAGUGACUAUGGUCUGCUUCUAGCCAGGUCAUUGAUAGUACAGGGAGAGUGAUCUGAAGGCUUUUCCCGUGUUUGUUGGGUAUCCUGUCCCUGUCAAACCCUGUAUCUUUCAGACA